CCUAAAGGCGUAAUGAAAGUAAAGGUUGUCAAGCGACAAUUGAGGGAGGAUGAGUUGUGUUUUAAUACUACUCCGCACUCCCGGGGCGUCUCAUUCUUAUUACAAGAAGAGGCGCACCCAGAGCGUACACGUUGGGACCCGAAAGAUGGUGAACUAUGCCUGGUCAGGAUGAAGUCAGGGGAAACCCUGAUGGAGGUCCGUAGCGAUUCUGACGUGCAAAUCGAUCGUAUGAACUGGGUAUAGGGGCGAAAGACUAAUCGAACCAUCUAGUAGCUGGUUCCCUCCGAAGUUUCCCUCAGGAUAGCUGGCACUCACAAGUUCUUAUUGGACUUAUACGAGUCUCAUCUGGUAAAGCGAAUGAUUAGAGGCCUUGGGGCCGAAACGACCUCAACCUAUUCUCAAACUUUAAAUGGGUGAGAUCUCUGGCUUGCUUGAAUAUAU
rnacentral:rRNA from 1 species